rnacentral:rRNA from 1 species
GAUUAAUACCUGAUGGUAUGAUGAGAUUGCAUGAUAGCAUCAUUAAAGAUUUAUCAGUGUACGAUGGGGAUGCGUUCCAUUAGGUAGUAGGCGGGGUAACGGCCCACCUAGCCAACGAUGGAUAGGGGUUCUGAGAGGAAGGUCCCCCACAUUGGAACUGAGACACGGUCCAAACUCCUACGGGAGGCAGCAGUGAGGAAUAUUGGUCAAUGGACGAGAGUCUGAACCAGCCAAGUAGCGUGAAGGAUGAAGGUCCUACGGAUUGUAAACUUCUUUUAUAAGGGAAUAAACCCUCCCACGUGUGGGAGCUUGUAUGUACCUUAUGAAUAAGCAUCGGCUAACUCCGUGCCAGCAGCCGCGGUAAUACGGAGGAUGCGAGCGUUAUCCGGAUUUAUUGGGUUUAAAGGGAGCGCAGACGGGUCGUUAAGUCAGCUGUGAAAGUUUGGGGCUCAACCUUAAAAUUGCAGUUGAUACUGGCGUCCUUGAGUGCGGUUGAGGUGUGCGGAAUUCGUGGUGUAGCGGUGAAAUGCUUAGAUAUCACGAAGAACUCCGAUUGCGAAGGCAGCACACUAAUCCGUAACUGACGUUCAUGCUCGAAAGUGUGGGUAUCAAACAGGAUUAGAU